AGUGCUCACCCACCCCAACCGAGCCCCCAAAGUCAAAAGCCUCCAGAACCCAAGUGCCACCAUGCUCACGGCCAGUCUCCGCAGGCUCGGGACAAGCCCAUCAUAUGUGAGAAUGAAUCUGUUGAAUAACCCAGAGACGCCACGGCUCGCGUCACGGUUGCCAUCUGCAAUUGGAGCUGCACUCGCCCGACCUUCGGCUCUGCCUCCCAGCUGCCUGUCACCGAGCUGACUGUACUUAGCAACCAGGAGCCGCAAGUAAGGACAGAGCUGGAGGGACCAGUCCAGAGAUGACUGUGAAGACUGGAGCAGUGAAAAGUUGUUCGUGCUCAUGAAAAUGUUGAGGAGUUAUAGCUGUGGUCGCUAUGACGUUAGAAGCAUCGGCUGUGGAAAUAUCACCUGUAAAAGAAGGCCAGACUUUCCAUUCAUUGGCUGCUGUGACACCAAUAUUGCGUGCUCUUGACUCUGUUGUAUGUUAGAGGAUCCAUAGAGGACCACCUAUCACAGAUUCCUUGCAGUUAGUUGAAAGCCAACUGACACAGUUUUGAUCAGUGGGAUGCAGGCAGAAAUGUUGCUAUAGGCUCAUUCCCGGUCGCACUUACAUUUUAUGAAAUCCUCCAAACCUUUCUUUCCAACCUAUGCUAUACUGACCUUGAGAACACAUGCAAGAUGGAAGAAGGCUACCAGAUAUGUGUUACAAUUUAUGUGAGUAAUAAAUAAAACUUUUCAUGUCAAGACUGGGAGACUUGGG